GAUGAACGCUGGCGGCGUGCCUAAUACAUGCAAGUCGAGCGAACGGACGAGAAGCUUGCUUUUCUGAUGUUAGCGGCGGACGGGUGAGUAACACGUGGAUAACCUACCUAUAAGACUGGGAUAACUUCGGGAAACCGUAGCUAAUACCGGAUAAUAUUUUGAACCGCAUGGUUCAAAAGUGAAAGACGGUCUUGCUGUCACUUAUAGAUGGAUCCGCGCUGCAUUAGCUAGUUGGUAAGGUAACGGCUUACCAAGGCAACGAUGCAUAGCCGACCUGAGAGGGUGAUCGGCCACACUGGAACUGAGACACGGUCCAGACUCCUACGGGAGGCAGCAGUAGGGAAUCUUCCGCAAAGGGCGAAAGCCUGACGGAGCAACGCCGCGUGAGUGAUGAAGGUCUUCGGAUCGUAAAACUCUGUUAUUAGGGAAGAACAUAUGUGUAAGUAACUGUGCACAUCUUGACGGUACCUAAUCAGAAAGCCACGGCUAACUACGUG
rnacentral:rRNA from 1 species